UACGUAGGGGGCAAGCGUUGUUCGGAAUUACUGGGCGUAAAGGGUUCGUAGGUGGCUUGUUAAGUCAGACGUGAAAUCCCUCGGCUCAACCGGGGAACUGCGUCUGAGACUGAUGAGCUCGAGUGCAGGAGAGGAACGCGGAAUUCCAGGUGUAGCGGUGAAAUGCGUAGAUAUCUGGAGGAACACCGGUGGCGAAGGCGGCGUUCUGGACUGCAACUGACACUGAGGAACGAAAGCCAGGGGAGCAAACGGG
rnacentral:rRNA from 1 species